rnacentral:snoRNA from 1 species
GUCAUCAAGUGAUGAGACUUGAAAGCAUCUCUUAGGACACCUUCCUACACAGCAUUGCUUAAUAGCUUUUACUGUGGAUGAGAAAGGCAUUUCUAUUUCUGAUGAUGAU